UUGCAUGUUUCAAAAUUGUUUCAUUUUUCUCCAAAAUAUCAAUUUGUCCUUUUGAAAUUUUUUGUUAGAUUUAUGUUAUUCUGAUUUCAACUUCGUGACGAUUCUUCUAUUUGUCAUGAGUGGUUUAAUCUACAUGUUUAUAAUUAUAGCAUAUAAAGCCACAUAAUUCAAGAUGGGCCUCGGUGUAUGAUUCCUUUGUACUUUUUUGGAAAAUAAAGGCUGUAAUGGCAGAAAUCUAGAUGCCUGAGUUGAGAAUGUUUAGACAUCACCAAACAUUAGCUUUUCAGAAAAGUAUCCAUGAUAAAUUAGACACUGAAUUUGGCACAUUUUUCUGAUUUCAGUUCUUUUGGGGAAACUUAUUUUUUCAUUCCUGGCUUAAGAAUUAUAUUUGAUGAUGCAAAGACAAAUCCAAAAUUUUAAAUUAUAAUCCAAAACUUUAGAUAAAUUAGGGAAUCUGUGUAUGUAUUUUACAACCAUAUAACCAUAUAUUGCCAUACAUAUGUCAUGAAGGUAUAUUGUAAAAGAUAAUUUGGCCAACUCUAUUGGACCAACUACUCUUAAACUCUCUAAGAACAAUUGGUUUAAGAUAUUGCCUGGAAUGACUGUUUUGCUUAUGGUCUCAUUCUUUCAUGGUCAAGAUGACAGUGUUCUAGAAAUGGUUAUUUCAUUUCUAGAAUGUCAGUCAAUCAGCUUUAUAUGACCCUGAGCAGUUAUCAUCUACCAUCCCAAACACAUACGCACUCUCUCUCUCUCUCUCUCUCACACACACACAUACACACACACACACACACACACACACACACACACACACAUAAGCACAGAGAAUUUUCAGAAAGAUUCAUGGUAGAAGAUCUGAGAUUAGAACCCAGGAACUCCUAAGAUUCCCUGGUUUUGUAUCAAAGGUCAGUAACAAGGCAUGAAAUCAAUGAAGUCAACAACUCAGGGAAAUAUUCUUGAGGAAAUGCAUAAUGGAAGUGGUGGUGUAACUACCUCAAAUCAAUAUUUUUACUGAAACUGAUCCAUUUGAUCAGGUAAGGCAAACAUGCCCACCUCUGAUUGGAUGGUAAUUCACUGAUCAUUAUCCUGAUUUCAGUGGAUCUAUGCCAUACUCAUGACCUGUAUUUUUCAGUGAACUGAUUGUCUUAUUGCACUACACAGAUAUAUAAUCAGGCCAGUUUGUGUGUAACUCCUUGUGACCCUUAUCAUCAUACUUUUGCUGUUUUGGUCUUUCAAAUGUAUUCACUUUUCUUUACCAUUUUGAAGCCAUCACUCUUUCACCACUAACAGCUAACCUUGGUAAUUUCUCACCAUGCACUGUUGUCUCACUAAAUCCUCACAGUCAUUCUAUGGCAUAGGUAAUAUGAUUGUCAUUGACAUUAUGUACAUAAGGGAGCCAAGGUUCAGAGGGAUUGUGUUAAUUGUUCAGGGUCACACAGCUAAUUUCUAGUAAAGCCAGGAAUCAACUCACAUCUGUAUGAUUCCAUGAUCUAUUCCCUUAGCUGUGAUGUAUGUGUUCUGUCACAAAUGAUCACUUCUAAAAUCAGUAUCAGUUCACAGAUAUUUGUGACUCUCUCAAGAGAACUGGGGAAACUUCUGUAAAGUUAGUUAAUGGCUUUUUAAUGUUAUGUGGUAGUUGUGGUGAAGCAAUGAUCAAUUCCAGUUAAAUUAGCUUAAAAUGACGGGAGCAAACACAUAUCUUUGAUGAUAAGGCUGGGAUGGAGGUUAAUGUCUCAUCAGUUUUGGGUCUCUCUUAGAUGUUUGACCUUAUCCUAACAACUUAAGCUUUAGGUAAAGGCUGCAUUUGGUGCUCUAAUCCCUUCCUCUCAGAUACAGGUGUCCUUCAGUGCCCAAAUGCAAUUCAAUCCAAGACAUACCUUCUCCCAAUAGUCUCUGGAGAAUGUUGUUCCUACUUAGACUCCUGCAUAGAUCUUAACUUGUACACCUGCCAGUGGUGUCCAUACAUGAGCUAUCAUUUGACCAUGCAGCCACACCUACAGACCCAUUUCUAAGUUCACAAUUGUCUCUGAUGCAGCCUGUAAUUUCCCCACUAGUAUGCCACUCUGUGAACUGGGUUGUAGGAAUAAACCAGACAUUGACACAUCAUUCUAUGUAGCAUUUUCUUCAAAUUAGAGUUUCACUCUAAACAAUCUUUGGUUAAGGGAAGACUUUGUUAUCUACUCCCUAGUCUCUUUGAGAAAAAAAAAGCCUGGUCCCCUUAAGCUCUUGCCUCAUUUUUGCCUUUCAGGUAUUAUUUGUGCUCUGGAUUAAAUGUGAAUUUUUAGUUAGGUACAUAGGAAAUAUCUACCUAAAAUACUUGUGAUUUCCACCAAGUUUGUAACAGCAAUCUAAAAGCUAACACAUUCAUUAAAUGAUUAAAUUGUUAAAUUGGUAGAAAGUGGUACCAAAUCCCAUCAGGGGAGGUUUGAAAUCUAAAUGCCUUUCAGUAUGUAUCAAACAUGCACAUCCAUGAGAAAAUAGUAUGAUAAAAAAAAGUGGGUUGUGACCUUAUUGGAUUCAUAUUGCCUUAUAGAAUAUGCAAAUUAAGACAAAUUUCUAGAUAUUUAUAAUAAGCAGCAAUAUAAGCAAGAAAACAAAACAGGGAGUUUCAGCAUUUAGCUACUGCAAAUUUGCCGGAAAAUAACAAGUGGCAAAGUAUCUUAAGAUCUCAGGAAAUCUGUUGUAUGGAGCUGAGAAGAAGGAAUGAGUUUAGAUUUUUCUUUAAGUUGUUGAAGAAGGCAUGGGAUUAUCUUGUGGCUGAUGGUCUUCCCUUAAUUCAAUGAAUAAAAAAAAAAGGAUGUUUUAGAAAAACUGAAAACUGCAGAAGCAAGAUAAGAGGAAAAAAGAAUUUGAAAGAUCAUGGUGAAAUGAAAAAAAGUGGAAUGUAGUCAGUUGGUAAAUUUAGUCUAAUUAGAGAUGGGUUAAAGUAAUCAGAAGGUAAGGAACCCAAUUAUGAGAUAGGCUUGAUAACAUAGAUGGCUUAAUACAAUAGAAAGAUAUAAAUAGAAUGCUUUUAUAUAAAUUCUGGAGGAAUUUAAAAAUGAGUGUUUAAGAUAACUUAGAAGGAAAGAUAUUAAUAUAAACUUGAUAUUUUAGUCUUGAAGAAAAAUGAAAAAGCUGAUUUUGUGUAAUGAGUGGAGGAAUACCAGCUCUUUCUCAGAUUUUCACUGUUUUAUUAGUAUUUUUGGAUUAUAGAAGUUGAUGGAGGAAGGAAUUUAUUAAAAAAUAAACACAAAAUAAAGUGAAUCAUAUGGUUUUGGCCAAAUUGUUCCUUUUCCUUACUUUAUAAAGAGCAUUUCUCAGAGUCAUUUGAAAUAAAGCUUGAUAGGUUUUUUUUGUUGUUGUUGUUAAAGUUAGUCGGUGGUUGAAAAACCUUGUUAUAGGUUGUUAGGCAUUCUUUUACUAAUAAUUUUUAAUGCAUGUCAUGUGUAAAAGACUGCUUAAGUGUCAAUGCAGAAACUAGCAGGAAUUGAAAAUUAAGCUUAUCAGUUUUCUGUGAUAGAAUGAUGGUUUGGGAGCUACUCAAGAAUGGAAUGUUUGUUAGUAACUGAAGAUUUUUCUGUCUUCUUCCUUGUGUUCUCAGAGCCACACUUUCAUUUUCCUUUUGUCAAGAAAGCCAGGCAUUCUGUGGCAUGCUAAAUCGAGAAGGGAUUGGCCCCAACCGCAGCUCUGUUGCUUGGUUGUUGCAUUGCCCUAAGAGACCCACAAGAAGAAUCUCACAAAAUCCAGUGCCCUCCCAUAGUCUAGCUUCCCCAUGAAAUAGCUCCAUUCAUAUUGCAUUAAAUUUUUCUCAGUGUCUUCUGGUUUCACGGGUUCUCACUGUGUGAGAGAGUCACUCUACCGUGGUGGUAAGCGGUGUGGCCAGAAUCUGCCGUAGACCAUCAGUAUCAGUUUUUCAGAUCCUGGAACUUUCACUAAGAAACUGUGGUUCUUAUUUUAAAAACAAAACAAACCCAAAAUCUACAAGCAAGAAAACACCGCAAAACCAAUCAAAACACCAACACUUUUCUUAACCUUAAUAACUUGCUCUUUUUCCAUGCAUAUCUAGUUCUUUAAAAAAAAAUACCUAAAAAGUUGAAAUUGGUUUACUACAUAUUCCUGUUGGCCCAGGACAUAGUGAUUGACAUUUUUUUUCUUUUAAAAAAUGGAUUUCUAUUUAAAAAAUAGAUUGCUUUUACUGUGACAACUUUGACAGUCUUUCAAAGAGGGAGAGAAAUGUAAAUUCAAAAGGAUAAUGUGUCUUUUUUUUUUUUUUUUUUUUUACUUUAAUCCUGUUUUGUGAAGCAUUAGCUAGGUUAGCAUUGCCUCAUAUUAAUCAGUUACCAUAAAGCCCAUUAGGAUGCCUUGAUUGAUGCCCUUGGUCUCCCUUGACCUCAGAUCUUGAUUGAAGCAUCUUAAAGGCCUGUAUGCAUGUGGCACCACAUCCAACAUUGUGAUUGCUCACUCAGUAGCUCUAAGCACUUACUCUUCAAUAAAUCCUUGGAUGCAAUGGGGAUGGAGAAUGAACUUUUUAAUUACAUGUCUGUUAUUUUCUAUCACCAGGAGCGAAAUUAAUGGGAAAUUAGUUCACAGGUUUAUUAUGCAUUUUCCCUCUUUAAGAAGAGGGACUCUUUUUCUGACAGUCCUUCCACUUUUAUAAUUUUACCAUUUUAUUUUAUUGGCCUCAGUACUGAAAUUCCUUCUUUCUCGUUCCAACUACAUCAGAAACAUUCAAUAGACUUAGCAGCCUAUGGAAGUCUGACAAUUACUUCCUCACGACAGCCUUGUUUCAAGAUUAGGUCCAGAAUAAAUAAAAGUUUUUCAUUUUCCUGGUGGCAUCUGUUAGUUUUCAACAUUGCCCAGAGAAAGAGUUACUAUGGAUUACAAAAAAAAAAAAAAAUGAACUACUUUUUCUUCCAUUUGGGCAGAAAUAGACAUAUAAAAAGCCAUGAGUGCUUCUUUCAUAAACCAUAUUUUAUGUGCAUUUGAAAAAUCAACCAGUAAGAGAGAGAGAUGAUGUUGGUUGUGGAAAAGUCAUAGUGGAUAAGCUCAAUUUAUUCAGUCUUCUGGGAUAAUGUAAGAGCAAAACAUGGAAACAGGAAUACAGUGUUCAUCAUAGUUAUAACUCAUUCAUUGAAAGCAUUUUGAAAACAGUGCUAUCUAAAUUUUGGAUGACAAAUAAUAAAGCAUAGUUAACGCUUCUCAUUGGUUGUGAACAUUCAAAUACAUCCAAGUGUUUAAUCAUGGCCAUUCAUCAUUCUGUAAAUCAAAAUUAGGUCUUUGAAUUCUCCUUUCCUAUUCUGAGAUCAAGGCAUAUUUGGCUUCAUAUAAAAUCUUAUGCAUAAUUUUGAAUUUCUUGGACAAUCAAGUAAUAAUACAUAAUUAUUUAAAAAACUUUUCAGAAGCAGAAACUUCAGGUUUCACGUACUUCUUAUUAAUCCUAAGGCCUAGCAAAGGGCACAGCUGUAGUUCACCUCAAUUAUACACUAUAAAUAUUUAGAUUAGAGACAGGAAAUAAGUUUUGGGAGUUGCAGGAGUAGAAUCAGAUGUAGGACCUAUUAUUGUAGAAUAGAGAUGGAGAUGGGGUUUACGGUUUUGUAUGUCACUGGUAGAGCAAUAAAAUUAGUGUUAAAAACAAGGAGUGGUGUGGACUUGGAUUGUCAUAGGAAGAGAAGCUGAGAAGAACAAGAAUGCUCACAUUUCUUUUGUGAAAAGGGUCUGAAUGCCUAUGAAAGACAGCAGGUACUGAGACUUGCCUGUCACCACUUGGCAGCAAAGCAAGGAAAUAGGACAGUAUUAAAUUUGUGAAGUUGUUGAUCAGAAAACUAGUUUAGUGUACAGAGGAGUCUGUGUGUUUUAAAAUAUUCCCCAAGUGGUAGAAUAUUACUGACAUUUGAAACAAUAGCACAGUCUACCUAUGUUAAAAUGGUUGUUUCCAUUUUUAAAUUAUAUUCUUUAAAUAAAAGUCUUGCUCUCUUGUUAAGCUAGAGCUUUUUGCUUUUCAUUUUGCUUUUCCCUCUGCUCCUUGAUCCGUCAAUGAAAAUGUGAUUUCCUGUUGGAGUCUUUGAUAAAUAUGCAAGGCUAUUUUCAUUGCAUCAGAAAGCUGAAAGGGACCUUGGCUGGUCAUUUGUGUAAUUGAAUCAUGCCUGUGUUUUGGGCACAAUUUUCAUUUGAUGAAAGAAACACAAGAUUUCCCAUGAUGUUUUGCAUGUCUACAAAUUCAGGUGAACAAGUCUGUCCUUGGGGUCUGGUUCAGUGAAUUAACUAGCAUGAUAUUUGCUUAACAAAGGCAUGCCAUAAAUAAGAGUCUUAAUAGUCAAUUGGCAUGUUCCUUCAUGUUAAUGCUGUUUUUGAAAUUUAAAGUUACAGUUGAAAUAAAUUGGUAUCUGCAUGUCUGGACUUCUGAAAAAUAAGCAGAUUUGAGGCGUAGUAUGUUAUAGCAGAAAUGUCUUUUAAUUCAAUUGUUGUGGUACGUAGUAGAUGUACAUAGGCAAAAACCACAAUUACUUUUUCAUAAACCUAAUAUUUACAGGGUAGAUGAGAUGUAUUGAUAUAGGUAUGCAAUGCGUUAUAAUCGUAUCAUGGAAAAUGAGGUCUCCAUCCUUUCUACCAUUUAUGCUUUGAUUAUAAACAAUUCAAUUAUACCUUUUUAGUUAUUUUUAAAAUAUAAUUAAAUUAUUAUUGACUAUAGUCAUUCUGUUGUGCUAUCAAAUACUAGGUUUUAUUCAUUCUUUCUAGCUAUUUUUCGUACCCAUUGAUUAUCCCCACCUUCCCCUACCCCAACCCUCCCACCAUCCUUCCCAGCCUUUGGUAACUAUCCGUUUCUCUAUCUCCAUGUCUUUUAAUUGAUUUUACUAAAGUGUCUCCCUCAUUUCUACAUACAUGUGACUCACUGGGGAAUAAACAAGGAAAUCCUUUGUGAUAAAUCAGAUGUCAUUCAGAGACACAGAGCUUUUUAUAUGUUUCCCCUUUCUUUAAAAUCAUCAUUGCUCUUCUAGAUCAAUAU